GUAGUCAAAUUCGUAUCAAUCCACAUAUGUUGGGGUGGACUGGAGUGGAACUUAAACUAAAUUCUACCUCAAUCUAUCACAACACAUGUGGAUUAAGGUGAACCCAACA
rfam:Sorghum bicolor cultivar BTx623 chromosome 7, whole genome shotgun sequence.